rnacentral:rRNA from 1 species
CACCAGACUCCUACGGGAGGCAGCAGUGGGGAAUAUUGCACAAUGGGGGAAACCCUGAUGCAGCGACGCCGCGUGAGUGAAGAAGUAUUUCGGUAUGUAAAGCUCUAUCAGCAGGGAAGAAAAUGACGGUACCUGACUAAGAAGCCCCGGCUAACUACGUGCCAGCAGCCGCGGUAAUACGUAGGGGGCAAGCGUUAUCCGGAUUCACUGGGUGUAAAGGGAGCGUAGACGGCAGUGCAAGUCUGGAGUGAAAGGCGGGGGCUCAACCCCGGGCUGCUCUGGAAACUGUACGGCUGGAGUGCAGGAGAGGUAAGGGGAAUUCCUAGUGUAGCGGUGAAAUGCGUAGAUAUUAGGAGGAACACCAGUGGCGAAGGCGGCUUACUGGACUGUAACUGACGUUGAGGCUCGAAAGCGUGGGGAGCAAACAGGAUUAGAUACCCGCGUAA